AUGGACCAGGACGAUGAUGUGCCAGCGGCUCAGGCUGGAGCCAGCCGUGAUUUGGACAAUGCUGAGGCUGUGGGUCAUGAUGAUCUAGGUAAUCCAGUGGCAGAAUUGCAGUCACAAAUUUUGGAGCUAGGUCGAAGACACGACCAAGUCAUGUCAACCCUUGCUAAUAUGAGUAAUGUUGCCACUAGAUCUUAUGUUUACAUUCCAAGGGAACGUCAACUUAUGCCAUUCAGUGGUGAUCAUGUUAAAGAUGGUCAGUCUGUAGAUGAGUUCAUUGAUGAGGUUGAACGUGUAAUUCGGGUAAGGGGUUUGAACGUUGAUGACCAAGUUGAUUUCAUACUUUCACAUUUAAGAGGUUCAGCCUUAGAUGAAGUUAAGCUGUGUAUGGGUGGGGAGACCAAGCAACCCAGUGAUCUGUUUUCAUAUUUGCGGGGGGCAUUUAGAGAGAAACGUACUACACCACAGUUGUUACAUGCUUUUUAUGCACGCAGACAGCUAGAGGGAGAAGACUUCCGUGACUUUUCCCAUGCUCUCUCUCAGCUUCUUAAUUCUGCUCUCCAACAGUCCCAUUACGCUGUGUCUGAUUCCCAGCUGGCUUUAAGAGAUCAGUUCAUCGAAGGCAUAAGAGAUGCGACUCUGCGUAGAGAGCUGCGCAAGCUGGUCAGAGAAAAGCCUCAGUCCACCCUGUUUGAUGUCCGUGAAGAGGCCAUGAUGUGGGUUGUGGAGGACAGACCCCGUGGUGCUAAUGUGGCCAGGAGUCGAAAUAUCGUGAGUACAUGUUCUGGGGAGAUGUCAGAACAUUUAAAUCCCGCCAGUGCUGCACAAAGUGACAUGGCUUCAGCUUUGCAAGAGGUAGUAAAAGUUAUCACGCAGCAGGGUAAAGCUAUUGGAGAACUCACUAAUGCAGUUCGUGAACUUGCUGUACAAAAGGGUGGUCCCAGUGGUAGCCAGAGUGGAAAGCCAAAGUUCAAGCCCAAGUAUACAGAUGACGGCCAACCCAUCUGUUUAAGAUGUGAAGGGGUGGGACAUGUAGCUAGGCAGUGUCCUGUACCACGUAGUUCCAAAGACCAGUCCACUGCCACCACAAGUUCUGCGUUACAGGGAAACGGGGUCCCU
rnacentral:lncRNA from 1 species